rnacentral:rRNA from 1 species
AGUGAACGCUGGCGGUAGGCCUAACACAUGCAAGUCGAACGGCAGCACAGGAGAGCUUGCUCUCUGGGUGGCGAGUGGCGGACGGGUGAGGAAUACAUCGGAAUCUGCCCAGUCGUGGGGGAUAACGUAGGGAAACUUACGCUAAUACCGCAUACGACCUUCGGGUGAAAGAGGGGGAUCGCAAGACCUCUCGCGAUUGGAUGAGCCGAUGUCGGAUUAGCUAGUUGGCGGGGUAAUGGCCCACCAAGGCGACGAUCCGUAUCUGGUCUGAGAGGAUGAUCAGCCACACUGGAACUGGGCCACGGUCCAGACUCCUACGGGAGGCAGCAGUGGGGAAUAUUGGACAAUGGGCGCAAGCCUGAUCCAGCCAUACCGCGUGGGUGAAGAAGGCCUUCGGGUUGUAAAGCCCUUUUGUUGGGAAAGAAAUCUUUCAGGCUAAUACCCUGGGAGGAUGACGGUACCCAAAGAAUAAGCACCGGCUAACUUCGUG